rnacentral:rRNA from 1 species
CCGGCGCACGGGUGAGUAACACGUAUCCAACCCGCCGUCUACUCUUGGACAGCCUUCUGAAAGGAAGAUUAAUACAAGAUGGCAUCAUGAGUCCGCAUGUUCACAUGAUUAAAGGUGUUCCGGUAGACGAUGGGGAUGCGUUCCAUUAGAUAGUAGGCGGGGUAACGGCCCACCUAGUCUUCGAUGGAUAGGGGUUCUGAGAGGAAGGUCCCCCACAUUGGAACUGAGACACGGUCCAA